rnacentral:lncRNA from 1 species
GUUGACGAACGAGAACGUGUUGACGUACGAGUACGAGGAGAACGUGUUGACGAACGAGGAGAACGUGUUGACGUACGAGUACGAGGAGAACGUGUUGACGUACGAGGAGAACGUGUUGACGAACGAGAACGUGUUGACGUACGAGGAGAACGUGUUGACGUACGAGGAGAACGUGUUGACGUACGAGAACGUGUUGACGUACGAGGAGAACGUGUACGAGGAGAACGCGUUGACAUACGAGGAGAACGCGUUGACGUGCAUCGUGGUUAUGAAAUGACCUGCGUGGGCGGGUUAAAGGAGGAAGUCGUGACUGAAGUGUUGUUGUUGUUGUUUACCUCACGACGCCGUAGAGACGCUAGUCGACUGGUUGUUGCCGUUUCGUCCGCUUACAUUUUUGUUAACGUUACUGUUCUUUCAUAUGAAUCUGAUCUUGUACAUUUUUCAUAAUAAAAUGGGUUUCAAGCCUCACGUCUCGCUGACUUUUGCUGCGCACCAUCUUGGAACGGACACUUACGUUAGCCGAUGUUAGCAUGCUAACAUGCUAACAAUGAUGUUGAUGUUUAUUACUUCAUAUAUUUAUGUAACAACACACUGACUGUUAAUAGUAAAAGUAAUGUUAAAUUAAGUUUAGGAGGUACUUAUUGUUGUGUUUAUUGUAUUUUCACCAUCGUUAGCGUAAUCGCGUGCUAACAUUUGCUACGAUGCUUUGAGCAUUAAGUGCCAUCCUUAAUAUUAAUAUUUAUUAAUGUAUCAUAGUACUUAAAAAGGUUAAGCAGGUAUAAUGUUCACCAUCUUGAUUUUAUGCUUUAUUGUUUAUUUUUAACUGAUUCAUGUUAAAACCAACCAAAACAACCAGAAGACGUCUUCAAAGACUUGUUUGUUUGUUUGUUUGUUUGUUUGUUUGUAACCACAGGCGGUGAAGGCAUCAAUAAUCCUGGCGGCAGAUUAGAGAAACAGUUUCAGUCCCAAACGUGUGGAAGGAACCCGGUUCUCUCAGGAGGAACCUGGUUCUCUCAGGAUGAACCCGGUUCUCUCAAAAAUGAACCCGGUUCUCUCAGGAGGAACCCGGUUCUCUCAAAAAUAAACCCAGUUCUCUCAGGAUGAACCCGGUUCUCUCAGGAGGAACCUGGUUCUCUCAGGAGGAACCCGGUUCUCUCAAAAAUGAACCCGGUUCUCUCAGGAGGAACCCGGUUCUCUCAAAAAUAAACCUGGUUCUCUCAGGAUGAACCCGGUUCUCUCAGGAGGAACCCGGUUCUCUCAGGAUGUUCUUCAGAGCAAG